UACGAAGGGGGCUAGCGUUGCUCGGAAUCACUGGGCGUAAAGGGCGCGUAGGCGGCGUUUUAAGUCGGGGGUGAAAGCCUGUGGCUCAACCACAGAAUUGCCUUCGAUACUGUUUGGCUUGAGUUUGGUAGAGGUUGGUGGAACUGCGAGUGUAGAGGUGAAAUUCGUAGAUAUUCGCAAGAACACCAGUGGCGAAGGCGGCCAACUGGACCAAUACUGACGCUGAGGAGCGAAAGCGUGGGGGAGCGAACAGG
rnacentral:rRNA from 1 species